rnacentral:lncRNA from 1 species
UUUUUUUUUGGCAUGGUCCCUAAACACAACUUUGACCACUGGUUAAUGUUUUUAUAUAUGCACAAAUCUACUCCUGUACUCUAGUAGUAUCAUCAAUUCAUCAUACAUCUAGAUGUUACCAACUUAGAGUAAGAAUGUAAUAUAGAAGACAUAAGUUUAUGCAAAUUUCAGUAUGCAUACAAAGUUUCAGUCAUUUUCUUGAACAUACUUAAAUAUAUCUGCAGAUGUUGACACCCUCUAACGCAACUGUUCCUGCUGUAUGAUAUAUAUGUGCACCAGAUCAGUGCCAGUAUGGACAUGCAACUGGUAACAUUGAGGCAUGGAAAUAAUACCAUGCUCAUCAAAACAGCGUGCACAGUCACCAUGAGAUGGCUGAUACCAUAAUACACGCCAUGGCCUAAAUUGAUCAAAAUCAACACACAUACCCUGAACAGACUCAACUAGCAGGAACCUAGACUCUGAGAGGCAGAGACAUGGGAGUCAAGGAUCUGAACCAAUUGUUGAUUUUGCAAGGAACAAGCUAUUAUAAGGGAUCAUAGAUAACUCAAGAUUAGUACAAUAACUGGCCAACUCACUACCAAAGUUCUAUAAAUUCCGAGUUCCAGUAAGCAAUGUUGUACAUGCACCCAAGGUUAUUGAAUCACAAUUAAAAACAGACAUAAGGGCUAAAUGGAGGUUAGCAGCGCCCUAACUCAGGGGUAGCAGCACCCAAGGUUUGGUGCAGAGUGCGUAGUCUAGAAUUUGUGGAAUUACCAGCCAUUCACAUGACACCGACACCCAAAUUUGUACCGAACACAGGACAACCCCACCCAAAAUUGUACAAAUCACGGACUAUCUCCCACAAUUCCCCAAUCACCGGAUGAAAUUAAACAAACCCGGAAUGGAAUCCGGAGCAGGAGCAUCAUCCACUCACCAGUACUUGACGGCCUUGCACUGCUUGCACCUGAACGUGGUGGGCCUGAAGCACACCGCGCAGACCCCCUUCGCCCCAGCCGGCGGCUGCGGCUGUGCCUCCACGUCCUCCUGCGCGGGAGCCACCGCCGCGGGCGGCGGCCCCCACACCGGCGCCUCGGGCACCUCCGCGGCGUGCACCACGGCCGGGAACAGCUCGGAGUAGUAGGCGAGCACGGACUCCCGCUCCGCCAGCUCGGACUCCUCGGCCGCGAGCCGCGCGAGGCGCCGCACCUCAUCCCUCCGCGCCGCGGCCCGGCGCCACCGGCUCCGCACCAGCAGCGCCAGCGCCGGCACCACCACGAGCGCCACCAGUGCCAGAACCACGGCCGCCGCCGCCGAGGACGACUCCACCUCCUCCUCCAUUGGCAGCCCGCCCCCCACCCACCUCCUCCCUCAGCCCGCUCCUCCUCCCGCUCCGCGCAUAGAUCUCGCCCCCGCCGCUCCUACCCGCCGGAUCCGCGCCCCGAUCCCCACCUCACCCGCGCGAAUCCGCUGCAAUUUAGACCCCGAGGGUUUCCAAUUUUCACCCCUCCUCUUCUCCGGUUCGGGUUUCUCUUCCUCCCUCCCCUGGUCUGGUCGUGUCUGUGUCUGGUCUUUGGAAGUGACGGAGAGGCAGGCAGGCACCAGCAGCAAGGAAGGAGCCUGGCGGUAUCCGUUUCCGGUCUGCGCACGCACCCAAGGAAUAAUUAGGCGACUUGUGGAGGGGGCGAGCCGCAAAAAGUGCGGGCGAGGCAGGAAGACGGGGCAAGUAACGGAUAGCUUACGCUGUGCCGGCGCGGUAGUAGUGUAGUACGAAGAGAGGGGGAGAGAGGGACAAGAAAGGAAUGGGUUCCCACGGGGGGUACCCGUGGGCUCGGUUCUCCGUGCGGGCGCGCGAUCCUUGCCGUCCGAUUGGUCGGACCGGCCGGGCCGCGGCCGUCGAUCAGAUGCUUUCGCGGGGGGCCGCGCCGCGGGUACGGAGCGGCAAGUGCUUUCCGCCGUUCCGCGGGAGAGGAAUCGCGGGAAACUGUGACAGUACGCGCCAUUAUCCCGCGGGACCCACCGCCUGACGGGUGGGACCCACGCGGGGUGCAUGUCAUGAUCGAAGUGUUUCCGGAGUUUCCAGGGAAAACACGUUGGCACCGAUCCAUCGAAUACUGCGUUUCAAUGGUAAGUGAUUUACUGCUUGAUUUGGGACAAAGAUAUGAUCUGUUUUUUCCCAUGCGAAUUAAAGAACAUUUAUUGGAGCGUUGUCUCGGUGAAGGUAUUUUUAGGAGGAAAGCUUUGGUGGGCGGAUCGUCUCGUGUGUUUCCUUGUGUCACGUCACUUACGAGGAGCCUCCUACUAUUUUGUUCGAGCUUUGAAGUCCAUUGACAAUUUGUUGCCGAAAUGCGGUUCUCACCGGAUUAAUUAACAAACCAUCAUGGCAUUCCAACGUGUGCGGCCAGGAUGAUUUGGUCACCUUCCCAUUAGGGCAAUGAUCGGCUGUAAAGUGGGGCGGGAACUUAACAAAGUGAAACUUCUCCUCCAGCAGAAAAUGGCAACGGACGAAGAGAAGUGCUGCACACGGAGGCACUAGGCCUAUCACCGGAGGUAUGGACAAACACACUCUUAUUCAUACCUAAAUUUAAAUAUAUAUUAUCUAAUUCUCAUCAUCUCUAUUCUCACCCAUAUCCAAUGGAUAAUUUAGAUACUACCCUCUCCAUUUUUAAUAGAUAAUUAUAUUUCUACUCGUACUCUUCCCAUUUGAAAUGGGUGUGAAUUUGGGAUGAAGUUGUGCAUUGCACCGAACCAAACACAAGAGAGAGGAGCCUCCGUUUCCCCGUAACUUUUUGCAGCACCCACCGUGCAAAAUUCAUUUUUCAGAUCUUCUCCGUACGUACGAGGGUCUAGUUGGGUUCCGUGGAUCGUCCGCAAGAGAACGUGCCAGCCAAACGACUGACGCCCGAGGACCCCGUCCCUUUCGCCUCGCCGAGUCCGAAACUGCCGCCGUGCCCACGCAAUGGUGCACGCGCGCGCGGGCGCGACAAGUGUCGCCGCCCCCCGCGUGCUAAGCGUGGAAGCUGCCAAAGCGAAAGCCAAACCCCCGGGAGGGAGGGGUGGCUCACGUGCGGGCGGCGUGGCGCGCGCGAGACGUCAGCCACGUCCGCGCCGGGCCGGUCGGAGCCGUCGGGCGCCAGCAGCGGUCGGCGGGUGGACGAGGAGGGGAGGGCGACGCCUCGCGUCCCGGUCGGCCGGUCGGUGGGUCGAGCGGGGGCGGGACGAGACGACGCGGCACCACGUCGGCGGCGGCCGCCGGACGCAAGCGACAAAAGCGAAAGAAGCGCCUCUCGGAAGCGGCAACGCGCAGCGCUGAUUCUCUCGCGCCGACUUCGCCUGCGCCUGCUGACGCGUGGGCCGGCCUCGAUCGCGUCCGGUGACGAGGCUUAGGAGACACUCCGCAUCAUGGUUCGUGGAUGCACGCCUUGUGCGGAGCGAUCUGGAUUCAGACGAAAACGAAGUAUCAGCACACGUAUCAUGCAAGUUAGCCACACCAUCUACAGCGGGCGAUGGACACGAUGAGUCGACGAGACCAUGACGCAGUUGAUGGAUGGGAUCUCGCCACUUGCCCACUUCUGAUCCUCGCCGUCGCUCGCCGGAAAUAUCUUAAACCUCUGUUCUCACCUCGAGCUGGUAAUUGUCAGCUGAAAAAUAAAUGUCCUCACUGAGGAAGAAUAAAGAGAGCCGAGUCCACCACACGUGCGCGACUUGCAGUUGGUCCAGCGUAGCUCGUGGUCUUCGAUGGAGACUCCUCGGACAGAUCGUGCCUAGCUAGUGCCUGCGGCCUACCCAGGCCAUGAACGUCCGAGCCGAGCCCCCGUAAAGUCUAAAGUAUCGAGCCGGUACUUAGCCAUUUUCCGAUAAGUUCACCUUCAAAUUCCAACUUUAUUACUAUGCAAAAAGAAGAUUCUCCAUCACAUCAAACUUACGGUACAUGCAUGGAGUAUUAAAUGUAGACGAAAUUAAAAACUAAUUGCACAGUUUUGUUGUACUUUGCGAGACAAAUCUUUUGAGCCUAAUUAAUCAAUGUUUGGACAAUAAUUCACAAAUACAAACGAAACGCUACAGGGUGCUACAGUGCUAGUACAGUGAUUUUGGCACUCCAAAAUUAGGCAACUAAACAUGCCGAUGCACAAGCAGCUGCAGCUGCAUAAAGGCUAAAGGUCCACAGCCUAGUCUCAAAUGCCUCACUUAGCUGCUGCAGCAAUCUCAACCGAACAGAUCCUCCAACCGAACCGAUCCGGCGCUUUCCGACGCCGGUCAGUAGAUUAGAUGCAGCCGACGAGACCUGGAGGCCGGCCUAGUGCAGGGCCCACUCGUUUCCGUAACUAGCGACUGCUAAUUCACUGGGUGGAUUUUAGUUACCGUCGGUAUUUCUCGUGUUGGUAAGAAAAGAUAGAUGAUCUGGACGCGACCCAAUGGUCUUCUCUCUUGCAGACUACAAAAGCAGCCUUUUGCUUUGGAACAAAUGAAGACCUCAUUUGGGAUCAAUGCGUGAGCCUUCGUAGAAAUUCUGCAGAAACCAUACUUUCUCUGGUGGUGCAAACAGUUUAGCUUCGUAGAAUAGCUGCUGGAAUUCUGCUUAGAUUCUGGUGUGGCAGCAGCAGCCUCCUCCGAAACUUGACCAUCGAUGAUCAGUGCUAAUUCGUGCCCACUUCAUGGGAGUCUUAGGACCUGUUUGGAUACAUCCUCAUAAAUUUAACUUUAGGACACUCAUAAAGUUUAGGAGCUAGAAAUUGGUAGUCCUAAAAUUUAUGAGUGGGCUGUUUGGAUAGAAUCAUAAUCUUUAGGAUGUUAGAGGAGAAAUGACUUUUGUACCCCUAAUUACUCCACCCCUGCUCUGUUUCUAGCGCCGUGGAGAGAGAAGGGGAGGGGCAACAGGGGUAAAGGAUGGGUUGGGGACCACUUUUAGGAGAAAAAUGACCCAUUAUGAUGGUUUAGUCCUCCUAAUGAAAACAACACUCCUAAACAUUAUGAAUGAACUUUUAUGACAUAUGUUUGGAUGCACAAGUCUUAAAAGUGGACUAAAAGUGAAGUCCUAAAAAUUAUGAGUGUGUAUCCAAACAGGUCCUUAACUAACUAUCCCCGCUCGAUUCCAGCUGUUUCGUUGUUGACGAAUGUCCACCCCCAGCCCAUUACGUUCUGACAGAAAAAUGUGAUGCCUCCGUCACGACGAGCACCAUUUGGUUGGCUGCCAAAAUUUUAGCAUGCCAAGUUUUGGCAAACCAGCCUUUUUGACACUAUUUGGUUUGGUACCAAAUUUUACCAAUAUCUUCCAUCUAUUCUACCAAAACUUUGGCAAGUUUUCUGCUCACCUUUUGGCUUGCCAAAAUUUUGGCAUCAAACCAAAUCAGUCCUAGUUCUAUGUUCUCUCACCAUUUUGGCUUGAUAUGGCCUGCGUCACUCCUGUGGAGGCUUGGAUCCUUUUUUAAAGAGUUUAAAUCCAUCGCAUAAUGAGAUGGAAGAUCUUGUUCACAACGUAAACUUGUGUUGCCUGCACUGCACCCCUGAUGAAGACAACAUUUUAGUUUGGCGGUAUAUCGGUAUACUACGAUGACCAAUUAUCUGCAAUUAUGCAUCCUUUAAUUUAUGUUAAAGGAUGCCAAACAGAUGACCAUUUUGUAUCCGGCUGAGUAUUCAUGUUUUCAAUUUUACAUCUUCCUAACUUUAAAAGUGUAUUUGGUUGGGUUGUGACUUUUGGAAAAACUACUGUGAGCUGUGUGCUGUAGAAAAGCAGCUGUGAGAAAAGCAGCUGUGGAAAAAGCAUAAGUUCGUUUGGUUAGAGCAGCUGUGGCUUUUGAAUAAACUGUCGAGUAGACCCUACAUGUCAUCCAAUCCACCCCACUCAACUCUCUCCCUCUCGCACUGACGAGCCCCUUCCUUUUCCUCCCGUUGGCCGGUCCACCCCACGGCAGAGCCCACGCCAGGCGACGGCUACUUCUCCCCGGCGACGCUCUUCCUCUUGCUCAACAUGGUCAUCAGCACCAUCGCGCUCACCUCCCGCUCCUACCGCCGCCGCCACCACCACCUCGACGAUCACUACCAGCAGCACUACGGCAGCGAUCAGGACCAGCAAGAUCCUCCACCGCCUCUGGCGCUGCUUGUGCGCACGUCGUCGGUCAUGGAGCGUUUGCACUCCCUCAGCCUCUACCGCUUCCGCUCCGGUCCACUGGGGUAGACGACGGCACCAGCGGCACGCGGGAGGCACAGGUCCAGUACGCAUGGUGGCGGCGGAGCAACGGGGCUCGGGCUCAGCGGCUUCUCUCACGCGACAGAAAACGAAGAAAAAAUAAAAGAACGAACGGUAUUGUUGGCGCUAGAAAUCGGUCAACCGAAUCCCAGCGACCGACACACGACCCGGGAGAAUCUGCUUAGCUCCUGUUCGGGUGAAUGCCCUGGUGCGGUUCGCGCGGCGUGCCAGCCAAUCUGACCUGUUGAUUGGCAAGGAAGAACACGUAUCAAAUUCAGUAACCACGAUCGGCUAAGUUUCCGAUCGAGAGAGCUUAUCGGCAAAUCGGCCGAUUUACUGUGAUGAUGAAAUCGGUUAUAAGACAACACGAUCCCUGUAGCUUUGUAGACAGAAAAAUACUAAAGUAAUCGGUACAAAACACGUAAUAACAGCACUAGGAAAAGAUCUAAUCGGCAACGAAUGGAUCUAACAACAGAAAGUAAUGAAAGCCGAUACUACCGAUUCCUAGCGAGAUAACUGGUGAUAAAAACUAGGAAAACAGGUAAAAACCUAUGAAUCUAGUUGAUAUCGAUAACUGAUGAAUAAAUCUAAACGAAACAACAGCGAUGCGCCGGAAGUCAAAGCUUAGAUAUUACUCGAUAAACGGAACUUACAGAAUCGGUCGGAGAUCAAGAUGAUGCAGCCCUGCCAACCCGCACGAACUCGUGAGAAGGAAAAGUGACGGCGAAGUCGCCUGCUCGAAAGUAAGUACGAAGAAUAAAGUAACUUGUUGUAUUGAUUGAUUGUUAUGUUUACAGAUUUACAAAGGUAGCUAUUUAUAGCCCCGUACAGAUAACUUCCUAACCGACUAGAAUUCUAUCUCUUAUUCAAACAGAAAACAAAUAUCUACAAGCACAAUUCGUAUUAGGUUAGAUACCCCACGCUUCGUGGGCUGACCUCCACCUUAUCCUUCCAUCCUUUUCCAAGCCCAUACAGGCCCAAUUAGUUCAUCCUCCUGAUCGGCCGAUUUCUCAUCGGCAAAGGAUUACCGAUUGGGAAUCUGGCGUAUUCUCCCUGAAGCGAAGCAAAAGCUGCCAGCCGAUUCCUCACUAUAGCACCAUCUGACCGAUUCCUAACUGCACUUCCUCGACUUCCUUUCCCCUUGGCGCCGAUUCUACUGAUGACGAAAUCCGGCGUCAACACAUGCCCCCUAGUUUCGGAGUAAAACACAGUCUUUUACUUCGAAAUUCUUUAUAACCUCCCCUCCGAAACGGCCGCAGUGAAAAUAUCCUUCCGUUUCGUAGUCUCCCGGCUGAUCAUUGCAAUUUUUGAAACGGGCGCCCACGACAGCCACUACCCCGAAAAACUCGACGCGCCGGCGCGGUGAAAAUUCCAUUUUUACCCUUUCUUCAGGCACCCUAUAAAUAACAUUUUACCGCAGCUCAUCUUCAAGCUCACGUCUCUUUUUCCAACGCGCGCACCUCCUUCUUUCUUCAAUCUUGCCAUCGAAGUCUUCCAGUUCCAGCUCCUGUCACUUCUUCCCCUUCCCUUCAAUGGCGACUCCUUCCGGCAGUUCUCCUGCACGCGAUACCCCAGAGGUAGCACCUCCGGUAACGGUGGCGACAACCGUCACUCCAUCCACAGAUGAAGGAGCUUCAUCAGAGAUCCCAAUGGCGAUCCCCAUUGCGACUCCAUCAUCCGCAUCUGCAUCGGCGACCACACCGAUUACUCAGAAUUUUAUACCGGAGGUAAAUACCGAAUCUUUCCUCUAUCGGUAACGUAUUUAUCUUAGAUCUACUCCUUAUAUUCUUAUGCCCCUUUUCCUUUUUUAGGCGGUUAGACAUAGAAUUACUAUUCAUCUCACGGGUAGUCCUGGCCUUGUUUGCCUUGGUCCCAUGGGAGACCCAGAUCCAGCAGACCUCAUAAACUUAGAAACUGACCGGAUACCUUUCAAACGAUCUGAUAUGAACUUAGAUCAAUGGGCCAGCACUUUUAGAUCUUGGCCGAAUGAAACCCCAGGUUGGAGGGAAUGGUACCAACGGGUGGCCGCGUCAAGGAGCGUCUCGUGGGAUGAGCUCAAAAUCGGCCAAUGUAUCAACCUUUCCCUGUCGCAAAUGGAGAAAAACGAACCGCUAGUGAUGGCGGCUUCCUAUUUUUGGUCUGACGCACUUAAUGCGUUCUUAUUUGGACACGGUCCUAUGACCCCCACUCUGGCCGAUGUGGUCCUCUUGACCGGCCUGGACAUAUCCUCCCCUGACACACCUUUCCAACUUCUGACCGUACCGUCGCAUCGGCUGGACACAAGAGGAAUCGGCGGCUGGAAGGGCUUUAUCAAUAGUAACAAGAAGACCGGUACUGUUGAUAACAGGGAACACACCGCUUUCCUGAUGAUGUGGCUAGAAAAACACCUUUUCUGUGGAAGAGCCGCCGGCCCAACAACCAACACCCAAUCUUUAGCUGAAGCACUGUCUAAAGGAAACCAUAUUCCUCUUGGAAAACAUCUUCUGGGAGCCGUGUACCAUAUGCUCCAUCAAAUCGGCACAAAACUUUCCAAGGGAGAACCAAUCGGCAACCCAGGUGGACCUUGGUGGUUCGUCAAUCUAUGGUUGAACCUUUAUAUGAACAGAAUCACCCGGCAACCAGUGGACCAUAUGACGUUUCCCAAUAUCGAAUCGGCGGAGGACCCUACCGAGCGUCGCCGAUGCAUGUCUUAUGGUGAAGCAGCAUCAGCUUUUCCAGGUUGUGCGUAUUCCGCUACAAAGGUAGCCGAGUACUUUCGGUGCUUUUACAAUGGAUUUAAUGAGGACGCAACUAUCUGGUUCCCAUACCAGCGAGACAUUCCAGUCUUCGAGCUCCCCUCCUGCUUCGAUUCAACUUCUGGCCAGUUUGAUGAAGAUCUCUAUGAAGGGUUGAUCAAGCCGUGGCUCCUACCGGCCAACUUCUUCUCAGGGAAGGAUGCCCCUACAUACGAAUUCUACAACCCUUCCGCUGCAGCACGACAAUUCGGCAUGGGUCAGUUGCCGAUUCAGGUGUACUUUGCUGGCAAAAUCAAGUUUAGAGAUGAGCUCACAUCUGGCCUGGAUUACGGUCGGUUGCGAGACCGAAUUCCAGACUCCAGUACAAUUAACUUGAACGACUGGCUAGUAGCUCCAUUUGCUGUCCAGCCGUUCAAACUCUGGUGGGCCGAUUGGAAGCAAUUCCUCUUCUGCAACUCAGCAUCGGCAUACUGCAAUCUUCUGGACCCGACCAACAUUGACCCAAACGCCGAGGUACUUCACAUAGCCGAUUUUUAUUCCCUUUUAUUCCUCUUAACAUGAUCGAGUACUAAUGAUUUUAUUAUUUUAGGCCGAGAAUCGGACCCCUCCAACACACAGCCGCAGCGGACGACUAAUAGAGAGUCAUCCAUACACUACUUAUCCCCUUAUCGGCUAUAACGCCCCGUCUGUUGACGUGAUUACUGGCCGAUCGAAACAAGUUCAUAAAAGGACCACUAAGAAGACCAGUCGCCGAGUCCGGGCUCGUACGGGAUCGGCGGAUCCUCCUGUGCGCGUAUCGGCAGAAACUUCGGCCGCACCACCUUCUCAGGUCAUUCAAGGUGCCGAUACUCAAACCAUGACGCAAGCUGGGGCGGCCGCCGCAUCGUUGUUGUUGGAGGCCAUACAAGUAAAACUGAGUCGCACUGCCUCCGAUUAUUAUUUUGAUAUUAACUUUUCUUUAACCUUAAACUGCACAGAACAUCCCUACAGAACCACAAUCGGCAGCAGCCCCUCCAGCUAUUGACGCGCCCCCAUUUCCUUCCGUUAAGGUAUAGAACUUUUCGUACCGAUUUCCUUUGGGCAUUCACGUAACGUGUUUAUUCAAACCUCUGACACAGGCCAUCGGCACAUCAAUCGCUCCUCGAUCGCCGAUUCCUUUUCAGGGGGCUGGUCCAAACACUGCGCCGAUUAUCGUGGAGUCCUCUUCAUCUGAUGAACCCAUGGCGCAGGCCCCCGAGCGAGGCAUGGCGGCUUCUCAAGUGCAACAUGAGGAGAUUCGCUUCAAAAUGGUAAUUUUCUAUUUCGGCUUCUAUCUUAGCCGAUUUGCUCUUACUUACAGCUGGUUUAUUUCUUUUCUUUAUUAUCUUCAGGAACAGGAUACCCCCGACAACAGCCUCUUUUCUUUUGCGGUCGCCCUCUCUGACGAUGAAGAAGUUGCUUCUCGCCAAGUCGCCUUGAGUUCCGUUCCUGAUGACGUUCGAGCCAAACUUUCCAGCAUCCGAUCCCUCCUUCAAGGGGACAUCGGCCGAUUAGUAGAAGACGCUUCACCGAUUCGGCAGCUCUUCAAUGACGUCAGCGGACGAGUACCAGAAGAGGCGGAGGAGGCCCUGGCGCCGGCGGCCUUCAUCGAGUCUAUGAGGAUCCCGGUCUUCAGAGCCCUUCGUCACAUGGCCGAUCGCGCCAAGCUGACCAAGGCUCGCGAAGAGGAAGACGCUUUCAAGCGUCAGGCUCAAGAGGCGAAUCGGCGUAUCCAUGUUCUAGAAGAUUCCCGCCCGGCGAUCAUAGGUGAGAUAGACCGUCUCAAGCGUCGGAGGGCGGAGCUUGCCAAGGAAAUGGAGCAAGUGACCAAGGCAAUCAGUGCCGAAGAGAACAAACUCCAAGAGCUACCCUCUGUUAUUGCCGAUUUAACACGGGAGAGGCAACGCUUUGCUCACGAGGCACUGAGACUCCAUCGCAGCGCAUCGGAGGUUCCUGGAUCGGCGGAAGAAGACCAACGGGUUCUUGACUCUGCCGAUCAGAUCCGGCGUCGGGCCAUCACGGCUAUCGAUACCCUUCUGGGUAAUCUGUGAAACACUGACCGUUUUGUACGAAUCAUUUACUAUCUUCUUUGACCGCCCCUCGCGACGCCCUUUCUAUUUAUUGCCUUCUUAUUACCGAUGGGACGUAGCUUUACCAGAUUUCCACGCAUUCUUUUAUAAAUACCAACCUCGGCACUUACUCCUGGUAGCACCAAUCUUGGCUCUCGGUUUAACUUCUCUGCCCCUUCUCAUCGGCGCAAUUUCUUUGCCAUGGCCUCGUCGUCUUCUUCUUCCUCUGUUAACCAGGUGAAGUCUUUGACCUCUACCUUCCCUUCUUUUUUAGACCCUAAGGAAGAGAAUAUCCCCCCUCAUUCCUUCUUUGUUUCAGCCUCAACGUCUUAGCCCCGAGCUCGUGCGCGCCAUUGAGUGCAUUCAUUCCGAAGAUCCAUUAACGUCGGAGGACAAGAUGCUGAUCGUGGCUCACCGAGAGGAGCUCCAGAACCACAUUACCACGGAGGCUCGCGUAGUCUUGGAUUCCGUGGUGAGUGAAAGUAACCGUCAAUCUCCACCCGUCAGGAGCCAUCGUCGUGGCGAUCUUGAAGACGACAUCGCCACGACGGCCCGAACGAUCCUGGACUUCGUGGAGAGAAACGGCAGCCGGCGACCUCCCAUCGACAGGAGUAAUCCACUCCCUCGGCAAGUCGUUCUUGAAGACGCGGGAGCGGGGACUUCGCGCCCUCCCGUAGAUCUCCCCCGUCAAGUCGAAGCGGAGAUUUCAAUGAAGGCCAUAGAAGAAGAAUACCUCCGACUCAUGAUAGAGUUAGGUCGGGCUGAGAGGGAGCGUAAGAAAAAGAAUAAUUAGUUGCUGUAUUUUUUGUUCUAAGGGCGACUAAACAUUUUGUCGGCCAUGUGACCCGUCGCCCGUACCGAAUGAAUGUAAUCGGCCGUUCCGGUCGACUUUAUGUGCGUCUCAAAACCGAAUCGUAUCGGUCAUGUAUGAUCGUGUUGAUUCCUUAGGCACCGACCCAUAUACUUGGGUAAUAUCUUUUUAAGUACCUCCCAUUCAGAGCUCUAGUGAAUUCUUCUCCUUCUAUUGUUUCCAAGAUAUAGGCAUUCCCUGGAGUGCAUUUGCCGAUUUUAUACGGCCCUUCCCAGGUAGGAGACCAUUUGCCGAAUUUAGGAUCUUUCGACCCGAUCGGUAGUACCAACUUCCAUACCAAAUCUCCGGGGGAGAACUGCUUGACUUUGACCUUUUUAUCGUACCACCUGGCCACUCUCUUUUUAUUCUCUUCGAUACUUAUCAGAGCCCUUAGUCGUUGGCCGGCCAAAUCAUCAAGUUCUUCCUUCAUCAGAGAUGAGUAGUCAUUGGCUGACAACCGGUCCUGAAGUAAAAUGCGCCUUGAUCCUGCCCUUGACUCCCAUGGAAGUACUGCAUCGUGACCGUAUACCAACUGAUAGGGAGAUAACUUAGUAGCUCCAUGACAGGCCAUUCUGUACGCCCACAGGGCUUCGGUCAAGCAUAGGUGCCACUUCUUCGGGUAUUCUUCAAUCUUCCUUUUGAUCAACUUGAUUAUUCCUUUGUUGGAAGAUUCUGCUUGACCAUUGGCUUGAGCGUAAUACGGAGAAGAGUUUAACAAUUUGAUGCCCAUAUUGGUCGUAAAUUUCUCAAAUUCCCCCGACGUGAACAUUGUUCCUUGAUCGGUCGUUAUAGUUUGAGGGAUACCGAAUCGGUAGACGAUAUGAUUCCUUACGAAAUCGGCCAUGAUACCCGAAGUCACAGUCCUUAGUGGGAUUGCCUCCACCCAUUUGGUGAAGUAAUCAGUAGCAACCAAAAUAAACUUGUGCCCCUUGCUCGAUGGUGGAUAAAUUUGGCCGAUAAGGUCUAUUCCCCAUCCUCUGAACGGCCAUGGUUUGAUGAUGGGAUUCAUGGCCGACGCGGGUGCACGCUGGACAUUUCCAAACUUUUGACACUCCUGACAACCCUUAUAAUAUUUGAAACAAUCUUCGAGGAUCGUAGGCCAAUAGUACCCGUUGUUUCGGAUCAUCCAUUUCAUCUUAUGUGCUGAUUGGUGAGCUCCGCAUACCCCUUCAUGGAUUUCUCCCAUUAGAGUCUUGGCUUCUUCUGUCCCAAGGCAUUUAAGAAGAACACCGUCGAUCGUUCGGUAGAAUAGAUCAUCUUCGAGCAAUACGUACUUGGUAGCGUGAAAGCGCACUCGUCGCUCCACCUUUUUAGACGGAUCCUUCAGGUAAUCAGCAAUUUCUUUACGCCAAUCGUCAGCUGCAAGCUCUAAGGCCAUGGCGCCCGGAAUCGGCCGAUACCCAGAUGCAUGUUGAGCGAGUCUGUUUGCUUCCUCGUUGCGGUCUCUUGGGACGUGCUCGAUUGUUGCCGAUCUGAAUUCUUUCAAAAGCUGUAAGCAAUCUUCGUGAUGAAUUCGUAAUAUGUCAUCUUUGCACUCAGCCCUUCCGGUUAGUUGAUCCACAAUUAGCAUCGAAUCUCCGAAGACCUCAACAGAAUCGGCCUUGACUUCCCUCAAUAAUCGUAAGCCUUUUAAUACGGCUCCGUACUCUGCUUGAUUGUUUGUGGCGGCGGUUUCUAUCGGCAAAGAAAAAUCAUAUCUUGCCCCCCGAGGCGAUAUGAGAACGAUGCCGAUUCCUGAUCCGACUCCGCAUGAUGACCCAUCAAAAAAUAACUGCCAAGGCGCUAGUUCCACGAAGGCGAUCUCCGGCCCACAGUGCUGGGCGACGAAAUCGGCCAUGACUUGACCCUUGACGGCUUUUGCCGAUUCAUACCGUAGGUCAAAUUCCGAUAAAGCCAAGAUCCAUUUACCGAUUCGUCCUUUCAAUAUCGGCAGUGACAGCAUGUAUUUCACUACAUCAUCUUUGCAUACGACUAUACAUUCUGCCGAGAGUAGAUAGUGCCUGAGUUUGGUGCACGAGAAGUAAAGACACAAACACAAACGCUCCACUGGAGGAUAUCUUGUUUCGGCAUCCAGGAGUCUUCUACUAACGUAAUAAAUUACCCGUUCUUUGCCUUCAAACUCUUGGACUAGAGCCGAUCCAAUAGCUUUUUCAUCGGCUGAUAAAUAUAGUUUAAACGGCUUACCCGUUUGAGGGGGAACCAGGACUGGGGGUGAGACCAAGUAUCGCUUGAUGUCCUCUAACGCCUUGCGCUGUUCUUCUCCCCAUAUAAAUUCCUGGUCUGGCUUCAACUUCAGAAGUGGUGUGAACGCCUGAAUCCGUCCGGAUAGAUUAGAUAUAAACCUUCUGAUAAAGUUUACCUUGCCGAUUAGAGACUGUAGCUCAGUUUUGUUCUGUGGAGCGACGACUUUGUUGAUGGCCGCUAUGGUCUUCUAAUUGACUUCUAUACCUCGUUCGUGCACCAUGAAUCCUAAGAACUGUCCGGCGGAUACGCCGAAAGCGCAUUUGUUGGGAUUCAUCUUGAGACCAUGCUUUUUGGUACACUCUAGCACCUGUCGCAAAUCGGCUAGGUGUUCCUCGUGGCUUUUGGACUUGAUCACAACGUCAUCGAUGUAGAUCUCCACCAGGAGGCUAAUGAGUUUGUGAAAAAUAUAGUUCAUGGCUCUCUGAUAUGUAGCACCAGCAUUCUUCAAGCCAAAAGUCAUCACCACCCACUCGAAUAGACCAAGAUGGCCUGGACACCUGAAAGCCGUUUUGGGUAUGUCCUCUUCGGCCAUAAGUAUUUGAUUGUAUCCGGCAUUUCCAUCCAUGAAGCUAAUAAUUUUGUGUCCCGCGGCAGCGUCGAUUAAUACAUCGACCGUAGGCAUGGGGUAGCCAUCCAUCGGUGUGGCCUGAUUAAGAUUCCUGAAAUCGACGCAAACGCGUAGCUUCCCGUUUUUCUUGUACACCGGUACGAUAUUAGAAAUCCACUCGGCAUAACGACAUUGCCGAAUAAAUUUUGCUUCAAUUAGCCGAGUUAUUUCAGCUUUUAUGUCUGGUAAAAUUUUAGGAUUGCAUCGCCGUGCGGGUUGUUGGUACGGCCGAUAUCCUGGCUUUAUGGGUAGCCGAUGUUCAACAAUAGACCGAUCUAACCCGGGCAUCUCGUGAUACUUCUGUUGGCGUUUAGAAAUCGGUCAACCGAAUCCCAGCGGCCGAUACACGACCCGGGAGAAUCUGCUUAGCUCCUGUUCGGGUGAAUGCCCUGGUGCGGUUCGCGCGGCGUGCCAGCCAAUCUGACCUGUUGAUUGGCAAGGAAGAACGCGUGUCAAAUUCAGAAACUACGAUCGGCUAAGUUUCCGAUCGAAAGAGCUUAUCGGCAAAUCGGCCGAUCCGCUGUGAUAAUGAAAUCGGCUACAAGACAGCACGAUCCCUGUAGCCUUGUAGACAGAAAAAUACUAAAGUGAUCGGUACAAAGCUUAUAAUAACAGCACUAGGAAAAGAUCUAAUCGGCAAAGCCGAUACUACCGAUUCCUAGCGGGAUAACUGGUGAUAAAACUUAGGAAAACAGGUGAAAACCUAUUAAUCUAGUUGAUAUCGAUAACUAAUGAAUAAAUCUAAACGAAACAACAGCGAUGCGCCGGGAGUUAAAGCUUAGAUAUUACUCGAUAAGCGGAACUUACAGAAUCGGCCGGAGAUCAAGGUGAUGCAGCCCUGCCAACCCGCACGAACUCGUGAGAAGAAAAAGUAAUGGCGAAGUCGCCUGCUUGAAAGUAAAUACGAAGAGGAAAGUAACUUGUUGUAUUGAUUGGUUGAUGUUUACAGAUUUACAAAGGUAGCUAUUUAUAGCCCUGUUCAGAUAACUUCUUAACCGACUAGAAUUCUAUCCCUAAUUCAAACAGAAAACAAAUAUCUAAUAAGCACGAUUCGUGCUAGGUUGGUUAUUCCACGCUUCAUGGGCUGACUUCCACCUCAUCCUUCCAAGCCCAUACAGGCCCAAUUAAUACACCCUCCUAAUCGGCCGAUUUCUCAUCGGCAAAGGAUUGCCGAUUGGGAGUCUGGCGCAUUCUCCCUGAAGCGAAGUAAAAGCUGCCGAUCGAUUCUGCAUUAUAGCACCAUUUGACCGAUUCCCAACUGUACUGCUUCGACUUCUUUUCUCCUUGGCGCCGAUUCUACUGAUGACGAAAUCCGGCGUCAACACAUGCAUCCACAUCGGCGACCACGCCAAUUACCCAGAACUUUAUCCCGGAGGUAAAUACCGAAUCCUUCCCCUAUCGGUAAUAUAUUUAUCUUAGAUCUACUCCUCACAUUCCUAUGCCCCUUUUCCCUUUUUUUUUUAGGCGGUUAGACAUAGAAUUACUAUUCAUCUCACGGGCAGUCCUGGCCUCGUUUGCCUUGGUCCCAUGGGAGACCCAGAUCCGGCGGAUCUUAUAGAUUUGGAAACUGACCGGAUACCUUUCAAACGAUCUGAUAUGAACUUAGAUCAAUGGGCAAGCACUUUUAGAUCUUGGCCGAAUGAAACCCCAGGUUGGAGGGAAUGGUACCAACGGGUGGCUGCAUCAAAGAGCGUCUCGUGGGACGAGCUCAAAAUCGGCCAAUGUAUCAACCUUUCCCUGUCUCAAAUGGAGAAGAACGAGCCGUUAGUGAUGGCGGCUUCCUAUUUUUGGUCUGACGCACUUAAUGCGUUCCUAUUUGGACACGGUCCUAUGACCCCCACUCUGGCCGAUGUGGUCCUCUUGACCGGCCUGGACAUAUCUUCCCCUGACAAACCUUUCCAGCUUUUGACCGUACCGUCGCAUCGGCUGGACACAAGAGGAAUCGGCGGCUGGAAGGGCUUUAUCAAUAGUAACAAGAAGACCGGUACUGUUGAGAACAGGGAACGCACCGCUUUCCCGAUGAUGUGGCUAGAAAAACACCUUUUCUGUGGAAGGGCCGCCGGCCCAACAACCAAUACCCAAUCUUUAGCUGAAGCGUUGUCUAGAGGAAACCAUAUUCCUCUCGGGAAACAUCUUUUGGGUGCCGUGUACCAUAUGCUCCAUCAAAUCGGCACAAAACUUUCCAAGGGAGAACCAAUCGGCAACCCAGGUAGGCCUUGGUGGUUUGUCAAUCUAUGGUUGAACCUUUAUAUGAACAGAAUCACCCGGCAACCAGUGGACCAUAUGAUGUUUCCCAAUAUUGAAUCGGCGGAAGACCCUACCGAGCGGCGCCGAUGUAUGUCUUAUGGUGAAGCAGCGUCAGCUUUUCCAGGUUGUGCGUAUUCCGCUACAAAGGUAGCCGAGUACUUUCGGUGCUUUUAUAAUGGAUUUAAUGAGGAUGCAACUAUCUGGUUUCCAUACCAGCGAGAUAUUCCAGUUUUCGAGCUCCCCUCCUGCUUCGAUUCAACUUUUGGCCGGUUUGAUGAGGAUCUUUAUGAAGAACUGAUCAAACCAGGACUCUUACCGGCUAACUUCUUUUCGGGGAAAGAUGCCCCUACAUACGAAUUCUACAACCCGUCUACUGCCGCACGACAAUUCGGCAUGGGUCAAUUGCCGAUACGGGUGUAUUUUGCUGGCCGAAUUAAGUUCAGAGAAGGACUUAAAACUGGCCUGGAUUAUUGUCGGCUGCAAGACCGAAUUCCGGACUCCAGUACGAUUAACUUGAACAACUGGCUAGUAGCUCCAUUUGCUGUCCAGCCGUUCAAACUCUGGUGGGCCGAAUGGAAACAAUUUCUCUUCUGCAACUCAGCAUCGGCAUACUGCAAUCUUCUGGACCCAGCCAACAUUGACCCAAACGCCGAGGUAUUUCUGAUUACCGAUUUUAUUCUUUUCAACAUAAUUGAGCACUAAUGAUUUCAUUGUUUCUUUAGGCCGAGAAUCAAGCCCCUCCAACGCACAGCCGCAGCGGUCGGUUGAUAGAGAACUACCCGUACACCACUUAUCCUCUUAUCGGCCACGACGCUCCGUCAGUUGACAUGAUUGCUGGCCGAUCGAAGAAGAUUCAUAAGAAGGUCAUCAAGAAAACCAGUCGCCGAGUUCGGGCUCGUACGGAAUCGGCGGACCCUCCUGUGCUCGUACCGGCAGAAACCUUGACUACACCACCCCAGGCUACACAAAGUGCUGAUACUCAAGCCGUCAUACAAGCCGGAGUGGCUGCCGUGUCAUUAUUGUUGGAAGCCAUGCAGGUAAAUCCGAAUUUUGCCAUCUCCAAUUGUUAUUUAAAUAUUAACUUUCCUUAACUCUGUAUUUCCCAGAGCACCGCUACGGAAAUACCACGAUCGGCGACAACUCGACCGGACGCCAACGCACCCUUGCCCUCAUCCAUUGAGGUAUAGUGCCUAUCUUACGGAUUUCCUUCGGGUAUCCGUGUAAUGUACUUAACCGAUUUUUGACGCAGGCCAUCGGCGCACCAAGUGCUUCCCGACAACCGAUUUCUUUCCAGGGAGUCGGUCCGAGCUCCGCGCCGAUUACUGUGGAGUCCUCUUCAUCAGAUGAACCCAUGGCACAGGCCAAUGAGCCAGACACAACGGCUUUACCAGCGCAGCAUGAAGAAAUUCGUUUUAAAAUGGUAAAUUCAUAACCAGCUUUCAACCAGCCGAUUUGCUCUGAUUCCACGCCGAUUCACCCCUUUUCCUUAUCUUCUCAGGAACAAGACUCCCCCAACAACAGCCUCUUCUCCUUUGCGGUUGCUCUUUCUGAUGAUGAGGAAGUCGCGUCCCGUCAAGUCGCUCUAAGCUCCGUUCCUGACGACGUCCGAGCUAAACUUACCAACAUCCGAUCCCUCCUGCAAGGGGACAUCGGCCGAUUGGUAGAAGAUGCUUCGCCGAUUCGGCAGCUAUUCAGUGACGUCAGCGGACGAGUACCAGAGGAAGCGGAAGAGGCCCUGGCACCGGCGGCUUUUAUUGAGUCCAUGAGGAUUCCCGUCUUUAGGGCCCUUCGUCAUAUGGCCGACCGCGCGAAACUGGUCAAGAUUCGUGAAGAUGAAAAUGCCUUUAAGCGUCAGGCUCAAGAAGCGAAUCGGCGUAUCCAUGUUCUAGAAGAUUCACGCCCGGCGAUCAUUAGUGAAAUAGAUCGCCUCAAACGACGGAGGGCGGAACUUGCUAAAGAGAUGGAGCAAGUGACCAAGGCAAUCAGCGCCGAAGAGAACAGACUUCAAGAUUUACCCUCUGCUAUUGCCGAUUUGACACGGGAGAGGCAAAGUUUCGCUCAAGAGGCUCUGAGACUCCACCGCAACGCAUCGGAGGUCCCUGGAUCGGCAGAAGAAGACCAACGGGUUCUUGACUCCGCCGAUCAGAUUCGGCGUCGGGCCAUCGCGGCUAUCGAUACCCUUUUGGGCAGUCUGUAAAACACUGACCGCUUUGUACGAACAUUUACUGCCUUCUUUGACCGACCCUUCGCGAUGCCUUCUAUUUACUGUCUUCCUUAUUACCGAUGGGACGUGGCCUCAUCAGAUUUCCACGUAUUUUUCCCCAUAAAUAUCGACCUCGGCGCCUCUUCUCGAUAGCAUCGAUCUGGCUCCCAUUUCGCCUUUCCUCUUCCUCUCAUCGGCGCGACUACUUCAUCAUGGCUUCAUCGCCAUCCUCUUCUGUCAACCAGGUGAAAUCCCACUUUCUCCUCUUAGAUCUCGGGAACCGAAUGCUUCACCUUAUUCCUUCUUUGUUUUAGCCUCAACGCCUUGGUCCGGAGCUCGUGCGCGCCAUCGAGUGCAUUCAUUCCGAAGACCCGUUGACCCCAGAGGACAAGGCUCUGCUUCUAGCCCAUCGAGAGGAGCUCCAAGACCACAUUACUGCAGAUGCUCGUGUAGUCUUGGAUGCCGUGGUGACCGAAAGUAACCGUCAAUCUCCACCCACCGGGAGCCAUCAUUGUGACGAUCUCGAAGACGACGUCGCCACGGCGGCCCGAACGGUCCUGGACUUCGUGGAGAGGAACGGCAGCCGGCGACCUCCCUCCGACAGGAGUCAUCCACUUCCCCGGCGAGUCGUUCUCGAAGACGCGGGGGCGGGGACCUCGCACCCUCCCGUGGAUCGGAGUCAUUUUCUCCCUCGUCAAGUUGGAGCGGAGAUUUCAAUGAAGGCCAUAGAGGAAGAAUACUUCCGUCUCAUGAUAGAGUUGGGUCGGGCUGAGAGGGAGCGUAAGAAAAAGAAUAAUUAGUUAUUGUAUUUUUUGUUCUAAGGGCGACUAAAUGUUUUGUCGGCCAUGUAACCUGUCGCCCGUACCGAAUGACUGUAAUCGGCCGAUUCGGACGACUAUGUGUUUGAACCGAUUUGCAUCGGCUAUGUGUGGUCACGUCAUGGUUGACUCCUUACGCUCCGACCCAUAUGCUGGGGUAAUAUCUUUUUAAGUACCUUCCGUUCAGAGCCCUAGUAAAUUCUUCUCCUUCUAUUGUUUCCAGAAUGUAAGCAUUCCCCGGAGCGCAUCUGCCGAUUUUGUACGGCCCUUCCCAUGUGGGGGACCAUUUCCCGAAUUUAGGAUCUUUCGACCCAAUCGGCAAUACUAACUUCCAUACCAGGUCCCCAGGGGAGAAUUGCUUGACUUUGACCUUCUUAUCGUACCACCUGGCCACCUUCUUUUUGUUUUCUUCGAUGCUUAUCAGAGCUCUUAAUCGUUGGCCGGCCAAAUCAUCAAGUUCCCUCUUCAUAAGUGACGAGUAGUCAUCGGCCGUUAACUGAUCCUGGAGCGAAAUACGCCUUGAUCCUGCUCUUGAUUCCCACGGUAGUACCGCAUCGUGACCAUACACUAAUUGGUAGGGAGAUAGCUUGGUAGCCCCAUGACAAGCCAUCCGGUAUGCCCAUAAGGCCUCUGUCAAACAUAGAUGCCACUUCUUCGGCUGUUCCUCGACUUUUCUUUUGAUCAAUUUGAUUAUCCCUUUGUUGGAGGAUUCUGCCUGACCAUUGGCUUGGGCGUAGUAUGGAGAAGAAUUUAACAAUUUGAUUCCCAUAUCGGUCGUAAACUCCUCAAAUUCCUCCGAUGUGAACAUUGUUCCUUGAUCGGUUGUUAUGGUCUGAGGGAUACCGAAUCGGUAAACGAUGUGGUCUCUUACGAAGUCGGCCAUGAUAGCUGAUGUCACGGCCCUUAACGGGAUAGCCUCUACCCAUUUGGUAAAGUAAUCGGUAGCCACCAGAAUAAAUUUGUGUCCUUUGCUUGAUGGUGGGUAAAUUUGGCCGAUAAGGUCUAUUCCCCAUCCCCUGAACGGCCAUGGCUUGAUGAUGGGAUUCAUGGCCGAUGCGGGUGCACGUUGAACAUUUCCAAAUUUCUGACACUCCUGACAACCUUUAUAAUAUUUGAAACAAUCUUCAAGGAUUGUGGGCCAAUAGUACCCGUUGUUCCUGAUCAUCCACUUCAUCUUAUGUGCCGAUUGGUGUGCUCCACAUACCCCUUCAUGGAUUUCUCCCAUUAGAGUCUUGGCUUCUUCUGUCCCAAGGCAUUUAAGAAGGACUCCGUCGAUCGUUCGGUAGAACAGAUCAUCUUCGAGCAGUACGUAUUUGGUGGCAUGAAAGCGUACUCGUCGCUCCACCUUUUUAGACGGAUCCUUCAGGUAAUCGGCAAUUUCUUUACGCCAGUCGUCGGUUGCAAGUUCUAAGGCCAUAGCACCUAGAAUCGGCCGAUACCCAGAUGCGUGCUGGGCGAGUUUGUUUGCUUCUCCGUUGCGGUCUCUUGGAAUAUGCUCGAUUACUGCCGAUCUGAAUUCUUUUAAAAGCUGUAGGCAAUCUUCGUGAUAAGUUCUUAAUAUGUCAUCUUUGCACUCAGCCCUUCCGGUUAGUUGAUCCACAAUAAGCAUAGAAUCUCCGAAGAUCUCAACAGAAUCGGCCUUGAUUUCUCUCAAUAGCUCUAAGCCUUUUAAUACGGCUCUGUACUCCGCUUGAUUAUUAGUAGCAGCGAUUUCUAUCGGCAGAGAAAAAUCAUAGCUUGCCCCCCGGGGCGAUAUGAGAACGAUGCCGAUUCCUGAUCCGAUCCCGCAUGAUGACCCGUCGAAAAAUAAUUGCCAAGGCACCAGUUCCACGAGGGCGAUCUCCGGUCCACAGUGCUGGGCGACGAAAUCGGCCAUGACUUGACCCUUGACGGCUUUUGCCGAUUCAUACCGCAGGUCAAAUUCUGAUAAAGCUAAGAUCCAUUUACCGAUUCGUCCUUUUAACAUCGGCAGUGAUAGCAUGUAUUUUACUACGUCAUCUUUGCAUACGGCUACACAUUCUGCCGACAGCAGAUAGUGCCUGAGCUUGGUGCAUGAGAAGUAAAGACACAAACACAAACGCUCCACCGGAGGAUAUCUUGUUUCGGCAUCCAGGAGUCUCCUACUGACGUAAUAAAUGACCCGCUCUUUGCCUUCAAAUUCUUGGACCAGAGCCGACCCAAUAGCUUUUUCAUCGGCUGACAAAUACAGUUUAAACGGCUUACCAGCUUGAGGGGGAACCAAGACUGGGGGCGAGACCAAGUAUCGCUUGAUAUCUUCUAACGCCUUGCGCUGUUCGUUUCCCCAUAUAAAUUCCUGGUCUGGCUUCAACUUUAGAAGUGGCGUGAACGCCUGAAUGCGUCCAGAUAGAUUAGAUAUAAACCUUCUGAUGAAGUUUACCUUGCCGAUUAGAGACUGUAGUUCGGUUUUGUUCUGUGGGGCGAUGACUUUGUUGAUGGCCGCUAUGGUCUUCUGAUUGACUUCUAUACCUCGUUCGUGCACCAUGAAUCCUAAGAACUGUCCGGCGGAGACGCCGAAAGCGCAUUUGUUGGGAUUCAUCUUAAGACCAUGCUUUUUGGUACACUCUAGUACCCUUCGCAAAUCGGCUAGGUGUUCUUCGUGGCUUUUGGACUUGACCACAACGUCAUCAAUGUAGAUCUCCACCAGGAGUCCAAUGAGUUUGUGAAAAAUGUAGUUCAUGGCUCUCUGAUAUGUAGCGCCAGCAUUCUUCAAGCCGAAAGUCAUCACCACCCACUCGAAUAGACCAAGAUGGCCUGGACAUCUGAAAGCCGUUUUGGGUAUGUCCUCUUCGGCCAUAAGUAUUUGAUUGUAUCCGGCGUUUCCAUCCAUGAAGCUAAUAAUUUUGUGUCCCGCGGCAGCGUCGAUCAAUACAUCGGCCGUAGGCAUGGGGUAGCCAUCCAUCGGUGUGGCCUGAUUAAGAUUCCUGAAAUCGACGCAAACGCGUAGCUUCCCGUUUUUCUUGUACACUGGCACGAUAUUAGAAAUCCACUCGGCAUAACGACAUUGCCGAAUAAAUUUUGCUUCAAUUAGCCGAGUUAUUUCAGCUUUUAUGUCUGGUAAAAUUUUAGGAUUGCAUCGCCGUGCGGGUUGUUGGUACGGCCGAUACCCUGGUUUUAUGGGUAGCCGAUGUUCAACAAUAGAUCGAUCUAAUCCGGGCAUCUCGUGAUACUCCCAAGCAAAACAAUCCUUGAAUUCUCUUAAUAAAUUUGUCAAUUUACACUUAUACUCUGGAUCUAAAUUUGCACUAAUAAAAGUCGGCCUUGAUUUGGUCCCGUCACCUAAGUCUAUCAUUUCUAAUGAAUCGGCCGACGUGAAUCCGUGCCCCAGCUUCCCGUCUUCUCGGGCGGACUGAUCCAUCUAUUGCACUUCUUCGGAGCCGACUGCUCGGAUCGGCUGUAGGCCAAAAUCGGUGACCUUCAGGAAGUCGGUUUCCCACACCCUACCUGAUAUGCAUCUGACGGUCUCGCAGCUCCAUUGCUGUGCGUCGGCUGCUGCGAUGCUGUACGCGGAGUCGGCUUUGACCACCUCGAUGUUAUCGCCGACCCAUUGUACGAGGCAUUGAUGCAUAGUUGAUGGGAUGCAGCAGUUUGCGUGUAUCCAGUCUCGGCCAAGAAGCAUAUUAUAGGAUCCUUUGCCAUUAAUGACGAAAAACGUGGUAGGAAGGGUCUUACUGCCGAUGGUGAGGUCGACGCAGAGGGCACCGCGAGCGUUUGACACCUUGCCCUCGAAGUCCUUGAGCAUCAUGUCCGUCCUGGUUAGGUCAUCGUCGCUUUUUCCCAGCUUCCGGAGUACGGCAUACGGCAUGAUAUUGACGGCAGCUCCCCCGUCGACCAUCAAUCUAGUGAGGGGGCGACCGUCAACAUGCCCUUUAAGGAACAAUGCCUUCAUGUGUUGUCGUUCGUCGUCUUCGGGCUUUUCGAACGUGGCCAUCAUUGGUUCUAAAGCCAACCGUGCUGUUUGCUCCUCUAUCGCCGAUACGUCCUGUCGAUCGGCAGGGGUCAUGAACUCCAUCGGCAAUAUGAAAACCAUACCGAUUUCGGCUGCCGAUUCAUCGCCCGCCGACUCAUUGUUUUCCUUGUCGUUUCUUUUGGGGCGCCACACCCGAGGCCUCCCUUCCUUCUUGUCCAUCGCGCUCUCUUCUUCUUGCUGUUCCCACUGGCGGAGGCGUUGGAUUCUCCGUUUUUGUGAUUUGGUUAAACCAUCGGGGCACCAUCUGGGGUUUAUUGGCUUCCCUUCUUUCCCGGCGCGUUCCCAUUCCGGCUCGCGUCCUAACAGGUUCUCGUCCGUUACCCGAGCAUCGGCCAUGUCUUCGAGCCGGCUGUGAACGCUGGCUUUGCUAUUUGACUGAUCGUGUCGAUCGGUCCUGCCCCCCUGCCUAUUAUGGCUUCUGUCUUUUGACCGACCGUAUCGGUCACUUCUGCCCCCCAGCCGAUCACGCAUGGAAGGGCGCUGAUCAUCUGGGUUGCGCCAAUUCCUGCUGAUCGGCUCUGGCCUUCCGUCUCUGGAGCGAGACCUGGUGAACGGCCGAUUGCCUCGAUAGGGACCGUUGCACUCUGGGCACGUAUCGGCCGAUGGUAGCCUGAGGUUAUUUUCCCAACAAUGGAUGAAGAAUGGGCAUCUCCAGUGCUCCUCGUGCCGACGCAUCGCUUCCUCUCGGGACCUUGAACGUUCAUGUUGGCGUUGGUACUUUUGGAGCAGGAACUGGGAAGUAAUACGUGGCCCUUCUGACUCACCAUCAUCGUCUUCCAUUCGUCGCUUUCCCUUGACGUCUUCAGACGUAACUUGAUUUCUGGGGUCGACAGCGCCACUCUUUUUGGCCGACUCGGACGUCAGCACCUUUGUUUGUAGGGAAUUCUUUCCCGUGUCAGCCAUGUUGGUAGGAAAAGGGUGCUGGUCGAUCUUCAUUGGUUUGGCCGGUUUUGUCGGCACUUCAAAUUUGAGUCUGCCUUGCUCAAUGGCUGACUGUAUUUGUUGCCUGAAGAUUUUGCACUCGUUGGUAUCAUGUGAUGUGGCAUUGUGCCACUUGCAAUACUUCAUCUUCUUCAAUUGUUCGGCAGAGGGUAUUGUAUGGUAAGGCGAGAGUUUAAUCUGCCCUUCCUGGAGUAGAAGAUCGAAGAUUUUGUCCGCUUUAGUUGUAUCGAAGCCAAAUGCCUCUGGCUCCUUCUUGCCGAAUGGGCAUGAUAUUGGCUUCUUCCCCUUAAUCCACUCUGCAAGUCCGAUUUCAGCAUCUUCCUCGUCCUCUAAUUCUUCCAGGAAUGCCACUUUCUUCUGGAAAUUCCUUCUUGGAUCGAACGGACGCACUUCCUGCCCGGACAAUCGGUGGACAAUCUGGCUCAGGCUCUCGAACUCUUGUGAAGCAUAUUUUUCUUUAAUGUGUGGCAGCAGGCCUUGGAAAGCUACAUCGGCCAACUGUGCGUCGGUUAGAGCCAGGGAGUAGCAUUUGUUCCUGAUUUCCCGAAACCUCUGUAUAUACGAGGGUAUCGGCUCAUCACUUCUUUGCCGGAGGCUAGUCAAAUCGGACAGCUUCAUUUCAUGGACCCCAGCAUAGAAGUACUUGUGGAACUGCCUUUCUAGAUCGGCCCAUGUGAUAAUUGAGUUUGGUGGCAAAGUUGUGAACCACUGGAAGGCCGAUCCAGACAAGGAUGACGAGAACAACCGCACCCGCAGGGCAUCUUGCGUAGCUGCCUCCCCACAUUGAAUGAUGAAUCUAUUCACAUGUUCUACGGUAGAAGUGUCAUCCAUCCUCGAAAAUUUGGUAAAAUCAGGAACCUUGUACCGAUGGGGAAAUGGCAACAAGUCAUAUGUAGAUGGGUAUGGUGUUCUAUAGGUAUAAGUUUGCACCUUCGGCUUCAGGCCGAAUUGUUCUUGCAUUACCUCUGCAAUUUGCGCCGACCAAUCUGGUUGUUGCUGGGGAACAAUUGGCGGCGGCAUCGGCACGUGCUGAUAAAUCGGAGGCUGAAUAAAAGGAGGUUGAUGAAAAGGUGGUAUCUGAGUAUAAGCCGGUGGUGUAGUAAAUGACGGCUGCUUGUAUGAACCACUUGUCUCAUCAUAUAGCAUGAGCUCUGACGUUUUGUUGACCUCCGGAGCGAUAGGCUGGUAUGGUGGUAUGAUCGGCUGAGUGGCCGUUUGGGAAGGUAUCUGGAACGGAGGAUUUCCUUGACUGACCGAUUGAUUCAAACCGGUCGUUUUUAAGGGUGCCCCCCAGGGUAAAGGGAUGACUGGAGGGAGUGGUGCAGAGGAUAGUUGGAUAGAGCCAUAUCCCAAAGAAGUUGAUGACGCAGAGGCACCGGGCCCUCCGAUAGAAGCUUGGAUCGGCUGUGAAGCCUGAUAAGCCUGAUUUGGCGGAAUCGGCUGAAAAUACGUUGGUCCCCUGUACCCUUGAGGUAUACCUCCGGCGAAGGAGUUGACAACAGCAUUGUGCACCAUGUUUGAAAGUACCGGGGAUUGAUUGAUGAAGGCGUGAUGAAGAGAUUGUUGAAUCAUAUCGGACAUUUUAUCCGAAUCUUCAGAAAUUGUGAUCUGGCGGGGAGUAGGGAAAGGAGUCUUUUUAACAGUUUCCCCGCUCCUGGAACGACUGAAGGAUUUCAAGCAAGUUUGCCGGACUUGCUCCAAAUACUUAUUCAGAUCGUCCUUUUGGUCGUCCUUUAGAUCUGCUUCCGUCACUUCGAUGACGUUAUCUUCGGAAACUUCAGCAGUUUUUGACAUGUUGGCGGUUGUAUUGGUCCCACUGGGCGUGCCAAAAGUGUGUUGGCGUUUAGAAAUCGGUCAACCGAAUCCCAGCGGCCGACACACGACCCGGGAGAAUCUGCUUAGCUCCUGUUCGGGUGAAUGCCCUGGUGCGGUUCGCGCGGCGUGCCAGCCAAUCUGACCUGUUGAUUGGCAAGGAAGAACGCGUGUCAAAUUCAGAAACUACGAUCGGCUAAGUUUCCGAUCGAAAGAGCUUAUCGGCAAAUCGGCCGAUCCGCUGUGAUAAUGAAAUCGGCUACAAGACAGCACGAUCCCUGUAGCCUUGUAGACAGAAAAAUACUAAAGUGAUCGGUACAAAGCUUAUAAUAACAGCACUAGGAAAAGAUCUAAUCGGCAAAGCCGAUACUACCGAUUCCUAGCGGGAUAACUGGUGAUAAAACUUAGGAAAACAGGUGAAAACCUAUUAAUCUAGUUGAUAUCGAUAACUAAUGAAUAAAUCUAAACGAAACAACAGCGAUGCGCCGGGAGUUAAAGCUUAGAUAUUACUCGAUAAGCGGAACUUACAGAAUCGGCCGAAGAUCAAGGUGAUGCAGCCCUGCCAACCCGCACGAACUCGUGAGAAGAAAAAGUAAUGGCGAAGUCGCCUGCUUGAAAGUAAAUACGAAGAGGAAAGUAACUUGUUGUAUUGAUUGGUUGAUGUUUACAGAUUUACAAAGGUAGCUAUUUAUAGCCCCGUUCAGAUAACUUCUUAACCGACUAGAAUUCUAUCCCUAAUUCAAACAGAAAACAAAUAUCUAAUAAGCACGAUUCGUGCUAGGUUGGUUAUUCCACGCUUCAUGGGCUGACUUCCACCUCAUCCUUCCAAGCCCAUACAGGCCCAAUUAAUACACCCUCCUAAUCGGCCGAUUUCUCAUCGGCAAAGGAUUGCCGAUUGGGAGUCUGGCGCAUUCUCCCUGAAGCGAAGUAAAAGCUGCCGGCCGAUUCUGCAUUAUAGCACCAUUUGACCGAUUCCCAACUGUACUGCUUCGACUUCUUUUCUCCUUGGCGCCGAUUCUACUGAUGACGAAAUCCGGCGUCAACAACUCCCAAGCAAAACAAUCCUUGAAUUCUCUUAAUAAAUUUGUCAAGUUACACUUAUACUCUGGAUCUAAAUUUGCACUAAUAAAAGUCGGCCUUGGUUUGGUCCCGUCACCUAAAUCUACCAUCUCCAAUGAAUCGGCCGACGUGAAUCCGUGUCCCAGCUUCCCGUCUUCUCGGGCGAACUGAUCCAUCUAUUGCGCUUCUUCGGAGCCGACUGCUCGGAUCGGCUGUAGGCCAAAAUCGGUGACCUUCAGGAAAUCGGUUUCCCACACCGUACCUGAUAUGCACCUGACGGUUUCGCAGCUCCAUUGCUGUGCGUCGGCUGCUGCGAUGCUGUACGCGGAGUCGGCUUUGACCACCUCGAUGUUAUCGCCGACCCAUUGUACAAGGCAUUGAUGCAUAGUUGACGGGAUGCAGCAGUUUGCGUGUAUCCAAUCUCGGCCAAGAAGCAUAUUAUAGGACCCUUUGCCAUUAAUGACGAAAAAUAUGGUAGGAAGGGUCUUACUGCCGAUAGUGAGGUCGACGCAGAGAGCACCGCGAGCGUUUGACACCUUGCCUUCGAAGUCCUUGAGCAUCAUGUCCGUCCUGGUUAGGUCGUCGUCGCUCUUUCCUAGCUUCCGAAGUACGGCAUACGGCAUGAUAUUGACGGCAGCUCCUCCGUCGACCAUUAAUCUAGUGAGGGGGCGACCGUCAACAUGCCCUUUAAGGAACAACGCCUUCAUGUGUUGUCGCUCGUCAUCUUCGGGCUUUUCGAACGUGGCCAUCAUUGGUUCUAAAGCCAACCGUGCUGUUUGUUCCUCUAUCGCCGACACGUCCUGUUGAUCGGCAGGGGUCAUGAACUCCAUCGGCAAUAUGAAAACCAUACCGAUCUCGGCUGCCGACUCAUCAUUUCCCUUGUCGUUUCUUUUGGGGCGCCACACCCGAGGCCUCUCUUCCUUGUUGUCCAUCGCGCUCUCUUCUUCUUGCUGUUCCCAUUGGCGGAGGCGUUGGAUUCUCCGUUUUUGUGAUUUGGUUAACCCAUCGGGGCACCAUCUGGGGUUUAUUGGCCUGCCUUCUUUCCCGGCGCGCUCCCAUUCUGGCUCGCGUCCUAACGGGUUCUCGUCCGUUACCCGAGCAUCGGCCAUGUCUUCGAGCCGGCUGUGAACGCUGGCUUUGCUAUUUGAUUGAUCGUUUCGAUCGGUCCUGCCCCCCUGCCUAUUAUGGCUUCUACCUUCUGACCGAUCAUAUCGGUCACUUCUGCCCCCCAGCCGAUCACGCAUGGAAGGGCGCUGAUGAUCUGGGUUGCGCCAAUUCCUGCUGAUCGGCUCUGGUCCUCCGUCCCUGGAGCGAGACCUGGGGAACGGCCGAUUGCCUCGAUAGGGACUGUUGCACUCAGGGCAAGUAUCGGCCGAUGGUAGCCUGAGGUUAUUUUCCCAACAAUGGAUGAAGAAUGGGCAUCUCCAGUGCUCCUCGUGCCGACGCAUCGCUUCCUCUCGGGACCUCGAACGUUCAUGUUGGCGUUGGUACUUUUGGAGCAGGAACUGGGAAGUAAUGCGUGGUCCUUCUGACUCACCAUCAUCGGCCUCCAUUCGUCGUUUUCCCUUGAUGUCUUCAGACGUAACUUGAUUUCUGGGAUCGACAGCGCCACUCUUUUUUGCCGAUUCGGACGUCAGUACUUUUGUUUGGAGAGAAUCCCUCCCCGUGUCAGCCAUGUUGGUAGGAAAAGGGUGCUGGUCGAUUUUCAUUGGUUUGGCCGAUUUUGCCGGCACUUCAAAUUUGAGUCUGCCCUGCUCAAUGGCCGACUGUAUUUGUUGCCUGAAGAUUUGCACUCGUUGGUAUCAUGUGACGUGGCAUUGUGCCACUUGCAAUACUUCAUCUUCUUCAACUGUUCGGCAGAGGGUAUUGUGUGGUAAGGCGAGAGUUUAAUCUGCCCUUCUUGGAGUAGAAGGUCGAAGAUCUUGUCAGCUUUAGUUGUAUCGAAACCAAAUGCUUCCGGCUCCUUCUUGCCGAACGGGCAUGAUAUCGGCUUCUUUCCCUUAAUCCACUCUGCAAGUCCGAUCUCGGCGUCUUCUUCAUCUUCUACUUCUUCCAGGAAUGCCACUUUCUUCUGGAAAUUCCUUCUUGGAUCGAAUGGACGUAUUUCCUGCCCGGACAAUCGGUGAACAAUCUGGCUCAGGCUUUCGAACUCUUGUGAAGCAUAUUUCUCUUUAAUAUGUGGCAACAGGCCUUGGAAAGCUAUAUCGGCCAACUGCGCGUCGGUUAGAGCCAGGGAGUAGCAUUUGUUUCUGAUUUCCCGAAACCUUUGUAUAUACGAGGGUAUCGGCUCAUCACUUCUUUGCCGGAGGCUAGUCAAAUCAGACAGCUUCAUUUCGUGGACUCCAGCAUAGAAGUACUUGUGGAAUUGUCUUUCUAGAUCGGCCCAUGUAAUAAUUGAGUUUGGUGGUAGAGUCGUGAACCAUUGGAAGGCCGAUCCUGACAAGGAUGACGAGAACAACCGUACCCGCAGGGCAUCUUGUGUAGCUGCCUCCCUGCAUUGGAUGAUGAAUCUAUUCACAUGUUCUACGGUAGAAGUGUCAUCCAUCCCCGAAAAUUUGGUAAAAUCAGGAACUUUGUACCGAUGGGGGAAUGGCAACAAGUCAUAUGUAGAUGGGUAUGGUGUUCUAUAGGUAUAAGUUUGCACCUUCGGCUUCAAGCCGAAUUGUUCUUGCAUUAUCUCCGCAAUUUGCGCCGACCAAUCUGGUUGUUGCUGGGGAAUAGUUGGCGGCGGCAUCGGCACAUGCUGAUAAAUCGGAGGCUGAAUAAAAGGAGGUGGAUGAAAAGGUGGUAUCUGAGUAUAAACCGGUGAUGUAGUAAAGGGCGGCUGCUUGUAUGAACCAUUUGUUUCAUCAUAUAGCAUGAGCUCUGACGUCUUGUUGACCUCCGGAGAGAUAGGCUGGUAUGGUGGUAUGAUCGGCCGAGUGGCCGUUUGGGAAGGUGUCUGGAACGGAGGGUUUCCUUGACUGACCGAUUGAUUCAAACCGGUCGUGUUUAAGGGUGCCCCCCAGGGUAAAGGGAUGACUGGAGGGAGUGGUACAGAGGACGGUUGGAUAGAGCCAUAUCCCAGAGGAGUUGAUGACGCAGAAGCACCGGAUCCUCCGACAGAGGAUUGGAUCGGCUGUGAAGCCUGAUAAGCCUGAUUUGGUGGAAUCGGCUGAAAAUACGUAGGUCCCCUGUACCCUUGAGGUAUAGCUCCGGCGAAGGAGUUGACAACAGCAUUGUGCACCAUGUUUGAAAGUACCGGGGAUUGAUUGAUGAAGGCGUGAUGAAGAGAUUGUUGAAUCAUAUCGGACAUUUUAUCCGAAUCUUCAGAAAUUGUGAUCUGGCGGGGAGUAGGGAAAGGAGACUUUUUAACAGUUUCCCCGCUCCUGGAACGACUGAAGGAUUUCAAGCAAGUUUUACGGACUUGCUCCAAAUACUGAUUCAGAUCUUCUUUUUGGUCGUCCUUUAGAUCUGCUUCCGUCACUUCGAUGACGUUAUCUUCGGAGACUUCAGCAGCUUUCGACAUGACAGCGGUUGUAUUGGUCCCACCGGGCGUGCCAAAAGUGUGUUGGCGCUAGAAAUCGGUCAACCGAAUCUCAGCGACCGACACACGACCCGGGAGAAUCUGCUUAGCUCCUGUUCGGGUGAAUGCCCUGGUGCGGUUCGCGCGGCGUGCCAGCCAAUCUGACCUGUUGAUUGGCAAGGAAGAACACGUAUCAAAUUCAGUAACCACGAUCGGCUAAGUUUCCGAUCGAGAGAGCUUAUCGGCAAAUCGGCCGAUUUACUGUGAUGAUGAAAUCGGUUAUAAGACAACACGAUCCCUGUAGCUUUGUAGACAGAAAAAUACUAAAGUAAUCGGUACAAAACACGUAAUAACAGCACUAGGAAAAGAUCUAAUCGGCAACGAAUGGAUCUAACAACAGAAAGUAAUGAAAGCCGAUACUACCGAUUCCUAGCGAGAUAACUGGUGAUAAAAACUAGGAAAACAGGUAAAAACCUAUGAAUCUAGUUGAUAUCGAUAACUGAUGAAUAAAUCUAAACGAAACAACAGCGAUGCGCCGGAAGUCAAAGCUUAGAUAUUACUCGAUAAACGGAACUUACAGAAUCGGUCGGAGAUCAAGAUGAUGCAGCCCUGCCAACCCGCACGAACUCGUGAGAAGGAAAAGUGACGGCGAAGUCGCCUGCUCGAAAGUAAGUACGAAGAAUAAAGUAACUUGUUGUAUUGAUUGAUUGUUAUGUUUACAGAUUUACAAAGGUAGCUAUUUAUAGCCCCGUACAGAUAACUUCCUAACCGACUAGAAUUCUAUCUCUUAUUCAAACAGAAAACAAAUAUCUACAAGCACAAUUCGUAUUAGGUUAGAUACCCCACGCUUCGUGGGCUGACCUCCACCUUAUCCUUCCAUCCUUUUCCAAGCCCAUACAGGCCCAAUUAGUUCAUCCUCCUGAUCGGCCGAUUUCUCAUCGGCAAAGGAUUACCGAUUGGGAAUCUGGCGUAUUCUCCCUGAAGCGAAGCAAAAGCUGCCAGCCGAUUCCUCACUAUAGCACCAUCUGACCGAUUCCUAACUGCACUUCCUCGACUUCCUUUCCCCUUGGCGCCGAUUCUACUGAUGACGAAAUCCGGCGUCAACAGGUAUGUUCAUAACCGGUGGCAGGUGGGUAAUUUUUUACGUCAAAAGUACUUGAAAGCAGGAGGAAAGGUACUUUUGAUUUUAUACGAGAGUAAAAGUAGUUUUUGAGAAAAACAUCUAUGAUUUUUAGACUCUUUAGUUGAUUUUUGACUUUUGCAAAAACAAAAACUGGUUGAAAAGUCUAACACCCUAAAACUUGCGGUACUGUGCUCCAUCUGAGGUGCAGUACGAAAUCUCAGAUUCCACUUCGUCCGUCGACCGUCGUCCCCAACUCCCCAUUGACAAUGAAGGCCUUGUUUACUUUCCUCCAAACUCCCAACUUUGACACUAUGCAAAAAGAAGAUUUCUCAUCAUAUCAAACUUGCGGUACAUGCAUGAAGUAUUAAAUGUAGACGAAAUUAAAAACUAAUUGCACAGUUUUGUUGUACUUUGCGAGACGAAUCUUUUGAGCCUAAUUAGUCAAUAUUUAGACAAUAAUUCACAAAUACAAACGAAACGCUACAGUUGCGCAUUUAUGGCAAAAUGUCAAUUUUGCCUAUCCCAAGUUGGGAAGUAAACAAGGCCGAAGUCGUGGAGGAAAUUGAACCAACCGUCGCGUCGCGGGCCGGGGUGGGAGCCCACUGGCCCAGUGGCCAGCCAGGCAACCACCUUGCCCAGUGCGGCACCGGCUCGCCGCCACCACGAUCUGCCCCGGCGGCCUCACCGCCAUUCCUGCCGCUGGCGACGACCGCAGCAAGCAGUUUCUUCUCAACCAACCAACCCGCCCGGCACGCCCCCGCGCUUCGCCGUCGCAACGUAAGCUUCCCAGAUCCCUUUCGUUUCCGUCUGGACCGAGCUAGGCCACACUUCUACUCGUCCACAUUCUCUUCUCGGUUCCCACAUACUUUUCAAGUCAAACGAUUACAAAUCGGUUUAACCAACUCCGAUCAGCGAUCACAGCCGGAUUGUGCAAUCCCUGGAUGGCCGGAUCCACGAGCUUGCUAAAUAUGGGCACAUCCCCUCCUUUUCGCCCGCACGCGAGGCGUGGACCACCGGCGGAUCAAGCGUUCUUAAAACCCCGCAGUCCAGGAACAACGCAACAAGCGGAAGAUGACAAGGGGAGUUGUUCGGCGGGAUGGGAGUUACUCGGCCGCGCGCCCGCCGCAUGUGCUGCUGCUGGUGGUUUUGUUCGGAGCGCGCUCUAGGUGUUCGAUGUAAUGGGUCGGAAGGUUAAUUAGCCGGCUGUUUGCGUCCUGAAGAUCCCGCGUCAGCGUCAGGAAUUCGAUGGAUAGUAAUCGACGCGGAAUCGUGGAAUUACGAAUCGGUGUGUGCGGUGUGGGUGUUGUUUAGCUCAUUAGGUGGGAUGUGGCUUUCAGAGAUUCCUGGUGUCGCCUUGGGGAAUAUUCAUGCUCCGUGGUGAUGGCUUAGUUCAGGUUUCGUGUAGUUGUUGUUCUCUUCAGGAGGGUUACCACCUGUUACACCAUCGAUCAAAAGUGUAAUUGAUUGUAGGUGCAUUGCAGUUCCACUAGACAGGUUAAUUUGCUUCAGAGUGCUCCUGAUGGAAAUAGUAUGGUCGGUGACUCGGUGAUCAAAAGUCUAGUUGUCUCAUGUUACAUUUGCAGUAAUUAGCUUUUUGACUGUUGUGUUUGGCGACAGGUUGUCGAAAAUGGGUAGAACAGUGGUUCCUGUGUGGUGGUCCUCUAGUGCAGUGCAGAUCAGCCAAUCCAAAGUUGCACUAGAUUAAGAAUCCACUUUUGUCCUAAAGGAUAAGGAGCCUUUCUGGAAGUGACAAGUGCUUAGAACUUUGACAGAGUAGUUGUUGUUAGAUCGGGUGGAGCUUUCAGUAUGCACUUGGACAAGUCCUUUUAGAAGUAUGUCCAGCCUUUAGAUUUAGCAUUUGGAUCGGUUUCCAUAUGAAAAGGUCUGUCCACUUGUUGUCAUCACAUUCCUAUGUAUGUGCGCAUGCUUAUUGUUUGAUGAUGCUACUCUUUCUGAACAUGGCUCCAAGGAUUCACAUUCUCUAUGGUUGCCUUGUACAUUUAAGGUUGCCUUAGUUAUACAGAGGUUUAGUGCUGCAUCUGGCCUGGGCUAGGAUUAAAGCUGUUCUCCUUGGCAUGUAUCAUCAAUUUGCCAGUGAUAUACUAUCACUACCAAGAUAAGGUUGCUGUGCUGUAAUGCACCUGCACUUCAUUUCUUAAGGCGAGAUACCUAAUUCGAACCCACUCUUCGAAUAGCAUUCAUUAGUCUUAAUUUGCUUCCAAGAUCUGAUACAUUACAUACACACUUAAUUUUUUUCCAAGAAUCCUAUGUGAAGGGAAAUUCAUUAGUCUUAAUUUGCUUCCAAGAUCUGAUACAUUACAUACACACUUAAUUUUUUCCAAGAAUCCAAUGUGAAGGGAAAUAAAGUUUGAUAGUAAUAUAUUCAAAUUUGUUUUUCAGGAAAAUGAAGUAUCUUCCGCUUUAUUGGAUACCAAGCAAAGGAUGCUAAAAAAUGUUAGCGUCAUCUAAAGAUGGGUACAGACUCUAUUUAAGAGUGUCGUAUCACCUUAUGUUGUCUACUGCCCAAUAGCCUAUCUUUAUCUAUGAACUUUAUCAUACCAUUAUUUUAGCUAAAUUCAAUAAGGUGGGAUCUAAAUUCUAGUUUACUACGUGCUCCCAGAUGAUAGAUACAAACUGUGCGAUCCAUGUCCACGACACACUGUCUUUGAUCUCUAGAUCGCUUCAGGCUUGCACAAUCAGGUAUAAUGUGGGACCUUGGCCUAUAGCUCAAAUGCUCAAUCGCUUAUCUUCACGCAGGGCAUAUUCAAAUUCCAACUUCUGCAUGGUUUUGUAUCAGGAUAUUUGCUCUGUAACACUGGAACCUCUGCAGUUUAGCAACCUGGCAUCUUUGGAAGAAAGAUGUUAUAUAUUCACAUCUGAGAAGACAGUGAAGUGUCAUUCUGGAAUUUGUUACUAUCCUGAUUGCCCAUGAUAGGAUGGCCGGUGAUUAAAAGUUUCUUUCUCUCCUUUCUAACAUUUGCAGUAAGUAGCCAUUUGAUUGUUAUGUUUGGGGACAGGUUGUUGAAUUUGGGUAGAACACUGUUCCUUUCUGGUGGUCUUUUGUGCAAUGCAAGCCUUCCAUCCUAAAGUUACACUAGAUUAAGAAUCUACUUUGACCUAAACUAUAAGAAGCCUUUCUGUAAGUGACAAGGGCUUUUGUUAUUUAUUAACAGUUAGAACUUUGACGGAGUAGGUGUUAGAUCAGAUGGAGUUUUCAGUUGGCAUUUGGACAAAAGCUGAUAGGUCCUUUUAAAACUUGGAAGUAUCCCCAGGCCUUAGACCUAGCGUUUGGAUCUAUUUUUAUAUGAAAAGGUCAGUUAACUUGUUUUCGUCAUGUUCCUAUGUAGCAUGUAUGUGUACAUGCUUUUUUUUUAAUGAUGGUAUUCUUUCUGAAGAUGGCUGGAUUGAUUUCCUAUGGUUGCGCUGUACAUUUAAAAUUGCCCUAAUUAGAAGUUUGUUCCUUUCAAAAGUUUAGUUCUACGUCAGUUUAGAAACUUGGUCUGGGCUAAGGUUAUUGUGCUGUAAACUGUAAUGCACACACGCUUCUUCUCUUAAGGUGACAUAUUAAGUCUACUCUCUGGAUAGUGUUCAUUAGUGUUAAUUUGCGUCCAUGAUCUGAUCUAUUUAUACCAACACAUUAUUUUUUGCAAAAACCUUGUGAAGGGAGUUAAAUUUUGAUAGAAAUGGAUUCAAAUUUCCUUGGAUCAAGAAUUUCUUAUCUGUAAAGGAAAAGAAAGUUGUCUUUCCCAUUAUCUAAUUCCAAGGGAUGUCAAAAUUCUUCUUCAUCUAGACCUGCCUGAGUACAGACUCUGAACUAAGAGUGUGCAACAUCACCAUAUUUUGUCUACUGUCCAAUAGCCUAUCUUUACCUAUGAACUUCAUUCACAACAUUAGUUUAGCUAUGUUCAGUAAGGUGAGAUCUAAACUCGGAAGUCCACUGCAUGCUUCCAAAAUAGGGUAAUCUAUGUCCAUGCAUCCAUGGGACCUUGGCCUGUAGAUCAGCGGUUCAUCCUAAUAAAGAACAUGUUCAAAUCCCCAGCAGUACAUAUUUUUUUCUAGAACUAGUAGUACAUAAUUAUUUUUACCAGGAUAUUUCCUCUGUAACACUGGAAAUUCUGCUGUUUAUGAAACUGGUAUCUUUGAAAUACACAGGUUUGUUACCAUAAUUGUAAAGUGCCAUCCUUACAUAUGCAUGUUAACACAAGGGUGGAAUACAAUGUUAAGUAAACUGCUUUGUACUUGAGUGUUUGACUGUUUGUGUUGUUUGAUGUGCUGUGUAUUCUGUAGGUAUGCACUGGGCCACUCGGGAGCCUUUUUUUCCUGCAUUUGCAUUCAUGUCACAAGUGCACACAAAGUAUUGUGUUAGAUUAGAUCACAUGAUGUUUUCAGUAUGUACUUGGACAAAAGCUCAUAGGUCCUUUUGGAAGUAUCCGAAGCCUUUUGAUUUAUGAUCAGGUUAGAUUUUCAUACGAAAAGUUCGGUCCACUUGUUUUGAUCACAUUGCCAUGUGUGUCCACACAUUCUUUGAAGAUACCAUAUUUGAACAUGGAUGGAAGAAUUUGCUGCAGUUUUGUGGUACAUUUAGGAAUUAGGAUUGCCUUAGACAGGGCCUUGUUCUGUAGAAAGGACAGUCUGUAUCAGGUUAAAAAUUUAGGCUAAGAUAAAGCUGUUCUUGACAUGCAUCAAUUGAUUGCCAGUGAUGUUAGUAAACUACAAAGACAAAGUCAGUGCGUGGUAAUGUGCAUGCACUUCUGUUCUUAAAGUGAGACUUAUGUUUUUAAUGUACUCAUUGAAUAUCAUUGGUAUUAAUUUGCUUCCAUUAUCUGAUAUUUGCAAGGUGUAACCAACUUUGUUUUGUAAGUCCACUGCAUGCUUCUAGAUGGUAGACAGGAAUUAAGGAAUUAAAGAAGCAAGUAGACUUGUUAUCUUUGGAAUAAAUAUGCAUCAUGUUCACAUUAUCUUAAAGUGUCAUCUUAAAUUUAUGUGUUAACACAAGGUAGGAAUUCUAUGUUAACAAAACUGCCUUGGACCGGAAGUCAGGAAUUUUGUUAGCUGCAAUCUUGUAUAGCAGAGUGCUUGUGUCGUUUAAUGUACGCGUCAUGUUGAGGUUAGAUUUGGCUGCUGAGCCUGUUCUUUUUGCAGUUUACACUGAUGUAUUAAGUGUGCACAAAUAAUCAUGUGCCAGUUGGCCUCUAGGUGAAAGUUUUCAAUGGUACUUAACAUCUGAACCUGAUUUGUAAGACCUCUAUCUAACUUCAUGCUAUUAACCUGUCGUAGCUCUUUGAAAAGUGGUAGUUUACCUACAAAGAACAAUUUAGCCUAUGUAAAAAUCAAUUGCAGUUGUCUAAAAAGUUAUAAUGGCUAAUAAGUACUAGUCUGGUGUACCAUGUGACAGCCUAAUCUGUUAACUGCAAAUCUCCAUGCAACCAGUCCUGGUAGCAAGAUGGAAACAGUUAAGUGGGCCAAGUCCAAUAGGCCGACAGAUUCUACUGAUCAAUUCAGCCCACUAGAUGAUCCUACAAGCUUGCAAGUGUCUGCCACCUAAAGAAUUCUGGUUCUCACUUCAUGCAUGAGGAGAACAUCUGUUUUCUCAUGGAACCUUCUGAUCCAUUUGGCAAUUCUUUCUUGCGAUCUGAAAAGAAACAAUUGUGGCUUCUUUCUCUCUGUUGGAUGUCUGGUGUUUUACUUCUUAAAUUCUGUGGCUGUACUCGAUGCAGGUCAAGCCUGUUGGUCCAAGUAAUAAUGUCAUUGUGGAACAUAAUUCUAACAAUUGAUCGACAAUAUUAAAGAUCUAAUAUAAUCCUGAUGAUAGAAAUUUCAGUGUGAACUGUAUCACUAUUGGUUGCAUCCAUGCGACUACAAGCAAGAUUUCAUGCUAAGAAGCUGGAUGCAUUGCACAAUCAAUUUUUUUUCUCAGGUUAUAUCUGUGUUAGCACGCAUCGUGGCUUGAUAAAUGGCUGAUCUUUGAAAUGAUCUCUACAUUUUGCCUUUUGUUUGUUCUGAUAUGGUUCGCCGAUUUGUCCAUUUUACUGUGAUACCUAGACCAGGGCCUGUUUGGCCAGGCUUCGGUUAGCUCCAGCUCCUCCUGCAUGUGCACUGUAGCAGUAUUGUGUGUCAUUGUUGCAUGGAGCUAUUCUUCUUUCUCAGUUUCUCCUGGCCAAAAUGAAUUAGGAAAAGUUAGGAGCCGGUGAAGCCACAUUUUUGGGCUUCACGGGCUCCGGCUCUUGGGGUUCUACAGUAACGCUAGAUUAUUGAAGCUGGAGCACCAGCCAUACCAUAGAGGGGCCUAAUGGAAAGCAUACUAGCUGUGUAACGUACUGUCUUGUCUUAACCUUAUCAGUUUGAGCACCAUCUUAUUCUGAUUGCCAUUUAUGUCUGAAGGUAGUUGAUGGCCAUGCUUGGCUCACAACAAUUUUGUUGGAGUGGUAAAGACUAAGUAAACCAUGGCGCAUUCGAUCAGGUAUGCAUCUCCUGAUUCCUUCCCUUCAUCUAAAUGGCAGGAUGGGCGUAUACUGUGAACUCUAUUUUUGGCCUUUUAAGUUUUCCCAAUUGGAAGGUCUGCCUCUGUAAAUUUAGAGAAAUUAAUGAACCCUAUCAAUCUAAAAAAUAGAACUUUUUUCAAAAUCACAUCAUGUAUCCAACCUUCUUGUAAUUAGGUGUGUAGAUUAAAUGUCAUUGGACUAGAUUGUUAAGUACAUAAUAUUAGUAUAUUACAUGCUAUUUCCUCUGCACGCUGAACUGGGAAGUGGACCCUAUCCCUUUUCUAGGAAAGUAUGUUGUAGGAAAAAUCCUCACGGAUAGAUGCUUGUGAGGUUGAAUGAUGUUGUUUUCCUCAGUCCUCAGCAUUGAUGUAUAUGUAAACAGUAAACCAAACUUCUUUCUUCUUGACAUCAAUUUAACAUAGCUCUAGUUUUGCUCUUGCAGAACUUGUAGAUGUAACCAUACUUAUUGUUAUCAAUUUCACAUAACUGUAAUUGUAGGUUCCUUGUCAUCAUUGUUUGAUUCGUGAUCCACUAAUUUACUGGUUCUAUAUUAUACACCAUAGUCACGUUAGCCUUAUUCUUCUGUGCACGAGAGAGUUCAUGCCACUAAUAGUGGACCUUGUGCCCUUAAUUGCCUCUAUAAUAAGCAUCUGCUAGCAUUUUCAUUGACCGCUACAAAGUACUGUGAUAUGCUAGCUUGAUUAAUGGAAAUUUUCAGCACUACUUGGCCAUGGCGCACACGCCACAAAGUAAUGCGAUACCCUGAACAGUUUGCCCACUUGCUAAAGUAAUCUGAUUGUCAAGUUGACAGUUUGUUUCUUUCCUACAAUCGACCAAUGCAAGCUGGGGAUGGAAUUCCUUUUGUUGCCAACUCCCAAGAAACUGAAUUUCAGCCGAUUUUUCUUUGCCACUACUAGCAUCCAUGAUCCAUGGCAUAGGAUUCGUGUUGUUCAGCAUCGUCUUUUUCAGCCGGCAGGAUAUGGGAGAAGGGGAUCAGCUGACUGUAUAGUAAGAGGCUGCUUGGUUGGUGGCCAUCGCCAACCAGUGGCGUGCCACAAUAUGUGGUGGCAAAAAUCUGCGCCGAAGGUUUGGUGGCCGUGGCGAGAAAAACAAUUGCAGUAUCAAUGGAGAGUUGUGGCGUGCCAAAAAUAAGUAAUCAAUCAAACACCUUCCUAAAUUAUUGUGACCGCCAAAGUUGUAGCGUGGAUAGUUGUGGUUGGAAACCAAACAUACCCUAAACGCUUGAAGAGGCACAGUUUCUCAAGAGGGCAAGUUGGUUUAACAGCAUUGCCUCACACAUGGUAUCCAUGGUUAUGCUUAAAAGUUACUAGUAUCGGAUUUAAACACUUGAAACUAUGCUGAAUGAUGGAUCCUGUAACAUCAUCGCCGGCAAGAAACAUGUAAUUUGACCCCUCUUCUUUUGGACAAAAUGUAAUUUGAAAUCUGAACACGAUAACUAGAAAACAUGUAACGGGGAAGUGGUCUUGCGACUUGCGUCGUGGUGGCCUGGUGGGCUGAUGGCCUCGUUCGUUCAUGCGCUUGUACUGCUGCGGCGGCGGCCAAAGUUGGCACACCCAAUUUUCCAGACGAUCAUUGGUUAAUCGUGCUCUAGUCCGGUGCCUUACAGCAGAGGGCUAAAGACGCCACCGUCAGAGCCGCACUUACUACCGUUGCUACUGGCCUCUAAUGGUGGUCGUGGCACCCAAUUUGCAUCGGCAUCAUGUCAGUCGCCGAGAGAACAUUUUGUUUUGCGCGUGUGAGGGUAAUCACUUUUUAGGCAGGAUUUGAUUUGAAUCUUUCAGGGGAGAGAAGUAGUGCUAGCAGGACGAUAGCCGGGCCCAGGAACAUGCACGUCGCUGUCGUGGGUGUCCGAGAUGGUACAGAUCGAGCGACACGUCGCCGCCUUGGCGCCUUGCCGUUGGCUGCGCGGUAUCUCGUGAUGUCCCCAGCUAGCGGCAUCCAGCAGGCUGGAACCGGGGAGGGUUCAUUCAUGGCCGUCAAAUUGCACAAGCCAUCUGUUCUUGUCUUCUUGAUCGAGUCUAUUCAGAUUGGGGCAAUUGAUUGUUGAUGGCGAUCCCGCUACCUGCCAAUUGUCUAUAUUCAGUUCUUUCGAGUUCCAACAUCUCUGGAGCUCGCCGAGAUGACAGCGUGAAAUUGCGAGAUAUUGCAGCAGCGAUUUAAUAAAAAUUUGAAAUUUCCAUUGAACAUUUGGUCAAAUACUCAAAUCCAUCCACGGACAAUAGAAUGCAGGAAGGGAUUAACGCAAAGGCUGACACGGGAUGCAAUGCAAGCCGAGGCGUAAAUAGUCUCCGACUUCUAGAGGGUAGCAGCGAUUAUUCGUAGCAGCGGACGCGGUGGUAACACGGGGGUGGUGGUGGUGGCUGUCGUCAUCAUCUUCGUCGUCGUCGUCGCGGUGGCUGGCGGGUCUCAGAACUCGACGCCCUUGAAGACCUUGCGCACCUGCUCGAGCGUGACGAAGAGCACGACGGUGAAGGGCCCCUGGCGCAUCACGGUGGGGAUGAACCCCUUGUAGAGCGCCAUGGGCCCCUCGGACCGCACGGUCUUGAGCGCGCAGUCGACGGCGCCGGCGUACGGCGGGGGCGCGCCGGGCGCCACCUUCAUGUUCAUCAUCCGCGUCUUGACGACGUCGACGGGGUUGGACGCCGCGGCGGCCACGAUGCCCGCGGUGAAGCUGGCGGCGACGUGCGUGGCGAGGCCGUCGGCGCCGGGGCCCCGGCGCGCCAGGAUGGCCUCCUUGGCCUGGUCGUAUGUGGCCAGCUGCGACGCCGUGACGAUCAUGGCGCGGUUCACCGUGAGGGACGACCCGCGCCACAGGCUGCGGACGCCCUCGUCGCGCGCCAUCCGGCCGAUGGCGUCCCCGACGCUGCGGUAGUUCCGGCGCUCGGCGAGGGGCAGCCGCCCGUCCGCCUGCAUCCGCACCAUGGCCACGUCGGCCGGGUUGCCGACGGCGGCCCCGACUCCGCCCGCGACCAGCCCCGCCGCGAUCUUGCGGUGGAGCGGCAGCACGCCGCCGUUCUCCUGGGUCCACUUUGUCUUGAGGAUGUCGUAGAGCCCCAUCCGCGUGGUGGAGUAGAGCGUCUGGCGCAGCAUGGUGGCGGAGACCCCGGAGAAGAGCGCCGCGGCGCCCUCGGAGCGCAGGAUCUGCGCGCCGACGGCGACGGGCCCGGGCUUCCUCGGCGGCGCCGGGAUGUCGUGGUGGUGCGGGAGCGCGACGGUGUGGCCGCCCGCGUGGAACGCGAGCGCCGGGCGCAGCGCCGGCUGCGGCGGCACCGCGGCGGCCGCCUCCCCCUGCAGCUGCAUGCGGACCUUGAUGAGGUCGAGCGGGUGGGUGGAGCAGCCGGCCACGAUGGACGCGAUGCCGCCCUCGACGAAUCCCUUGACCCCCAUUGCUUGGUUUCUUGCUCCUCGCCGCGGUUGGUUCCUUCCUCUUCUUCCCCUUAGCAACCUCCUUAUCGGAGAGGGAUGGAUUCGAGACCAAGGAAAGCCGAAAACUAAAAACGGAAGCUCAAGAAAGCUCGGGGGAGCAAACCCACCCGAAACGAAAAGAAGAAGAAAAACGCGAGAUUAGCUAGCUACUGCUGCCAAUAGGAGCUGGGGCACAUCUCACUGGAGACCAGGAGAUGGGAAUGGAGCGCGAAGGCUAUUCUGGAGGAGUGUGGGACGCUGGCCCUCUGUGACAUAUGCUGCUCGUGGCUUCCUGCUUCCUCGGUGUGGGGAUUGUGUGUGGGGAGGAGGCGGCGGCGGGGGCGCUAUUUAUAGCUGGGGUGCCCGGGCGGGGCGGAAGGGUCAAGGAAGGAGACGGACGGACUGCCGAACGGGCGGGGGAGGUGGUGGCUA